ACACGUGGGUAACCUGCCCAUCAGAAGGGGAUAACACUUGGAAACAGGUGCUAAUACCGUAUAACAAUCGAAACCGCAUGGUUUUGAUUUGAAAGGCGCUUUCGGGUGUCGCUGAUGGAUGGACCCGCGGUGCAUUAGCUAGUUGGUGAGGUAACGGCUCACCAAGGCCACGAUGCAUAGCCGACCUGAGAGGGUGAUCGGCCACAUUGGGACUGAGACACGGCCCAAACUCCUACGGGAGGCAGCAGUAGGGAAUCUUCGGCAAUGGACGAAAGUCUGACCGAGCAACGCCGCGUGAGUGAAGAAGGUUUUCGGAUCGUAAAACUCUGUUGUUAGAGAAGAACAAGGAUGAGAGUAACUGUUCAUCCCUUGACGGUAUCUAACCAGAAAGCCACGGCUAACUACGUGCCAGCAGCCGCGGUAAUACGUAGGUGGCAAGCGUUGUCCGGAUUUAUUGGGCGUAAAGCGAGCGCAGGCGGUUUCUUAAGUCUGAUGUGAAAGCC
rnacentral:rRNA from 1 species